rnacentral:rRNA from 1 species
UAGGGAAUCUUCCACAAUGGNGAAAGCCUGAUGGAGCAACGCCGCGUGUGUGAUGAAGGGUUUCGGCUCGUAAAACACUGUUGUAAGAGAAGAAUGACAUUGAGAGUAACUGUUCAAUGUGUGACGGUAUCUUACCAGAAAGGAACGGCUAAAUACGUGCCAC